AGCCCCCUGUAUUCGUGCUGAGAUUUCGUCAGAGAUCAACCCAUUGGUACUGGCUGAUGGUACUCCCCAAAUAAGUGAAGCG
rfam:Trichobilharzia regenti genome assembly, scaffold: TRE_scaffold0005394